CAAUAGCGUAUAUUUAAGUUGUUGUAGUUAAAAAGCUCGUAGUUGGAUUUCGGUUAAGAGCGACCGGUCCGCCGUUUGGUGUGCACUGGUUGGUUUUAACUUCCUGUAGAGGACGUGCUCUGGGUUUAACGACCUGGACUCGGAGUCUACGUGGUUACUUUGAAAAAAUUAGAGUGUUCAAAGCGGGCUUACGCUUGAAUAUUUCAGCAUGGAAUAACACUAUAGGACUCCUGUCCUAUUUCGUUGGUCUCGGGACGGGAGUAAUGAUUAAGAGGAACAGUUGGGGGCAUUCGUAUUUCAUUGUCAGAGGUGAAAUUCUUGGAUUUAUGAAAGACGAACUUCUGCGAAAGCAUUUGCCAAGGAUGUUUUCAUUAA
rnacentral:rRNA from 1 species